ensembl:lncRNA
GAGCAUGCUGAAGCCUGGAUGCCUGGGGUACUGGCAGCAGAUCGACUCAGAUAAGCGUCAACCUAAUAGAAUAUGACGGAACUGAAGAUCGUUUUUUUUUUGGUACCGGGGAUCGAACUCCAGUCCUUGUGCUUGCCAGGCAAGCGGCAGAACCACUGAGCUAAAUCCAUGGAACUGGAACUGAAGAUCUUCACAGCCAACCAUCAUGUCUUCUUCUUUGAGGACGAGCAUCCUCUACUCUUCUGAUUGCUCCCCAGAUGUCAUGGAGAGGCUGUGGAACUGAUAAUCUAAAUUGGGUGCCGUGACUAUUCACGAAAUAUUGGAGAGAAACCUUCACAAUCGGGAUGCAACAUCGUUGUGCUCGUCUUUCUAGAACUGUUUGGGUAGCUAGCUCUUCGCUCAGUGUGUCUGCCUCCACCGCCGACAGAGAAGUCCUCUGUAGGCUUCAUCACUUGGCGCACCGGGGACACACUGCCCUUGCAGGGUGCUGCAGAGAGAGCGUUGCAUGGGUGGAGAGGUGGAGAGGCCAGUUCGUCAAGUAGGUGACUCCCUGCGCUGUGUCAUGGGGUGGUCAUGACCUGGGAAGACUCCAGUGGUGAGGACACUGUACCCUGUGGCUUUGGAGCCUGCAUUUGUAUCAUUGGGCCGUCUUUGGGAAAGCAUGUUAGAAGUUAAAGAUGGUACUAUAUGAGAGUUGGUGCGGGUGCCAUAUUGGAGCGGUGGUCCGCGGCAUCAGAAGUACCCUAGGCAAGCUUUGGACCUGACUCCUCCCUCUCCAUCCUCCCCCCAGCAUCACUGAUGAUAACUGUUAAAACUACAUCGUAUAUAAAUGCAAAGCUGUGAAGAUUAUGGAACUUUUGAGAAAAACAGAAGACAAUGAAUUUAAUGAUUUUCUACUCAUUGACUGAGUCAUGGGACAACUGUGUAAAGGAUUUCCUGAACUAUAAAUUCUUAUUGUCAUAAACCAUAAACGUUUUGAAAGAAAAAAAGCUCCCCAAAUAUUCAAUAGUCAAAUGAGAAAACUGGCAAUAUGACUUACAUUUUCUCAGUGUUGCCACUGCAAAUAAACUAACUUUGAGGGUCUGUGGAAAGUAAAAGUUUGGGACCUACAUCCACCUGUAUGGAAAUUUAUAUUGAAAUUGAAGCUUUACAUGAUACAAUUUAAUAAUGAUUUUACAUGUUUUCUAAUAUGAAUCAGUAUGGGAAAUAUUUUAAAUGUGAUUAGUGGUGUCAUGUAUAUUGAUUACAAAAAGUAUGAGAAAAAAUUGAAGAAUGUUUUUCCAUACUGAUAAAUUUAGAGUUGUUUUAAAAUCUAUGCACUACUAAUUUGGAUUCAAUUUUAAUAAUACUGAGUUAAGAAAAAAUUAAUGAAUUUAUUUAAUUUUAACAGGCAUAACUUUGAAAUGGAUACACAAAGUCCAAUCGGUUCUUUGAAAAAGAUACUGUACACUUGUUUUGUUAAUGUAGUUAUUAAUAUUACUUAAUAUUAUUUUUAAUAAUGGGUUCAGUUAUCUGACAUCUUUUAAGUACGUGUGGAACAAUGUAGGCAUAUGAAUCUACUUUUUUAAUGGUAAAUUUUUAUCAAGUAUAUCCCAUGAAAAUUUAGCUUCUGAUUGGGAUACAUUCUAAAUGUAAAACACAGCAGAAGAAGUACAGUAUAAAGUAUGGUAAUACUGGUUAUAUUUUUUAAUUUGGCUUCAUGUUGAGAUGAUAAUAUUUUGGAAACACUAGGUUAAGUAAAAUACACUUAAAUAAAGUUUGUUUCCUUGUAGUGUUUAAUAUAACUACUAGAAAAUGUAAAUACUGUAUGUAAGCAUUACUGCUCAUUUUAUUUUUAGUGCACUGUGUUGGCCCACAGCUCCCCAGCCCACAUUCUGAGAGUGGUCAGGAGAGUUAGCACAGCCACGAAAUGAAAAUAGAAGUGCACGUGUUAUCCAUAUGGUGUUAUGCGCAUGUGGUCUGCUUUGAACCUUGUUGGUGAGAGCAAAGAGCCAGUCACCAAAUACCGUACCAUAUGCCAUGUACUCGAGGCUGUGUUGAUCUCUCUGAACAAGACAGCACAUCUGGCAAGGCAGCUGUGAGUGUAGCCACUGUUUUGUUGAGCUAGCAGUAAUCCGCCAUCAUCCCCCAGGUUCCAUCCAGAUUUUGUAAUUACCAGAGUCAUGAAUAAAAUGGAAGUAAGGUGGGAAGAGUGGCAUCUGAUCCUUUAGAAUCUUUAAGUAUGAGAGUAUCUCGGCAGGGGUAUGAAGAGUGGUGAUCUUUUCUAGAGUAUGGAACACAAAAAUUCCCAAUAUGUGUUAUAAUAGAACGAUUAGAGUAACAUGAUUACCUUUAAAAAAUUCCAGUAAAUCCAGCUUUGACUUAACAUAGAUGUAGUACUAUCUGUGGUAGUAGAAACUGAGUUUUCAAAUCAAGGUAGAAAUGUUCUUUAAGAGAUGUGAGACAUUUUUAAACAUCUACACAAUGAGUCUAAUUUUUUAGGUUUCAAAUUGAUAUUUUUUCAUAAUUUGGGAAGUCAAAGUGAUACAAAAUAUAUUAGAGUUUUUUUUUUUUUUUGGUACUGUGGGUCGAACUCGGGUCCUUGCGCUUGUGAGGCAGGUGACAGAACCACUGGGCUAAAUCCCCGGCCCAAUAUUAGAGGAUUAAUUGUGCUAUCUCAGUGUGUAUUGCAUGAUUCAUCUAAAGCUAAAGCAAAGUACUUGUAAUUUUCAAAUUUUGAAUCAAUUUUUUGAUACUCCUGGAAAGGUCUAGUAUUAUAAAGAUAAUUGGUUUGUUGCCUAGUUGAAGAUCUUUCACUGUUUGUAAAAUGUAUUUUCCAUAUUUUUCUCAUAAUUUUCUAAUAAACUAG